GAUGAACGCUGGCGGCGUGCCUAAUACAUGCAAGUCGAGCGAACAGACGAGGAUCUUGCUCCUUCGACGUUAGCGGCGGACGGGUGAGUAACACGUAGGUAACCUACCUAUAAGACUGGGAUAACUUCGGGAAACCGGAGCUCAUACCGGAUAAUAUUUCGAACCGCAUGGUUCGAUAGUGAAAGAUGGCUUUGCUAUCACUUAUAGAUGGACCUGCGCCGUAUUAGCUAGUUGGUAAGGUAACGGCUUACCAAGGCAACGAUACGUAGCCGACCUGAGAGGGUGAUCGGCCACACUGGAACUGAGACACGGUCCAGACUCCUACGGGAGGCAGCAGUAGGGAAUCGUCCGCAAUGGGCGAAAGCCUGACGGAGCAACGCCGCGUGAGUGAUGAAGGUCUUCGGAUCGUAAAACUCUGUUAUUAGGGAAGAACAAACGUGUAAGUAACUGUGCACGUCUUGACGGUACCUAAUCAGAAGGCCACGGCUAACUACGUG
rnacentral:rRNA from 1 species